AAAAAAAAGAAAGAAGAAGAAAGAAGAAGAAGUUUGCCAUUCAGUCACGAGUUACAGUCAGACUCAGUACUAGUUUCAACAGCCUACAGUUAGCAAAGUCAUCGACUACCAUCGUUUAACUUCGGUUUUUGGCAAUCAAGUGUGGGAGGGACCUCAAGACAACUGUGUGGCGAAUGCUUGAGAGUAUCUUCUCUAAUCGCCUUUCCAUUAACACAACCUGGACUGGUGCAGGGGAAAAAGCAUGUUUUAGAGACAUGUUCCUGAAGACCAUUGUUCAAAGAGCCAUCCGGAAGAACUCGGCAACCCAGGAUGCCACUGAUGAGGCGAUCCAGGUUAACGUUACGCGUUACCUGAAAGGAGCAGCUGACCGUGAAGGUGGAAAAAGGCGCCGCACAGCUGAGAGGGACCCACAGCCGACCCCUCAAACCUAGGCUGACUACCGACACCCCUGCUAAAAGUGUCAGACUAAACUCACUCAAUCCACACUCUUCACUAGAAAUUGCUGUUUUUUUUUUAUUUUUCCCCAUCUCGUGACCCUGCCUUCAGGGCAGCUCCUUGGAUGAAUAUGGGAUGUUUUUUUUUUUUUUUUUUCCUCUCAUGACCCUGCCUUCAGGGCAGCUCCUUGGAUGAAUAUGGGAUGGUUUGUCUUUUUAUACAGGCGCACGAGGAAUCACUGAAGAUGUGCCAAUUUGCACUGCCUCAUUCUGGAGGUCGAGGAAAACCAGACCCCAACCACUCCAGACAUUGUGAUUGACUGUGUUCUCAACAGCCAGAUUUUCUGCUGUUAAUUGCAUUUGUUCCCACUUAUUUAUCAUGUUUAAGUUGAAUGUAAAACUUUACAUUAUCCUGCACAUUCUUUGAUACCAAAGAUCUCAAUUAUUUAAUAUACAAUUUGCUGCUUAUUUCAUUGUUACAGUGCUUAACUAUUCUAUUUUUAAAUAUAGCUUAUAAAUCCUAGAUUAUACAUCUAAUACUUGAUAUUUGCACAUUAUCUGGUAUCAAAUAUUCUACUUACCGUGACUUUAGUAUUGGCUUAUUUCAUUCCGUCAGUGCUUAACGAUUCUAUUAUAGUUUGUAAAUCCUAUUUCAUACCUCUGAUAUUUGAUAUUGCACUUUUAACUAGUACCAGUUAAUUCUACUUUCAUUCCAUCAGUGUGCUUAACUGUUAUUCUAUUAAAAAUAGCUUGGUUAUACUAUUUCAUACCUUUUGAUAUUGCACUUUCACUAGUACCAAAAAUUCUACUUUCAUUCCGUCACAGUGCUUAACUGUUAUUCUAUUGUUAAAUAUAGCUUGUAAAUCCUUGUGCCACAGGUCAGCAUUGCAGUUAUAAUGGCAUAUUCUACUCCAGAGCUUUACUCUAAAUUAUUACCACUUAUCCUAUUGUUAGAAAUGACUUGUAAAUAUGAUGUUAUACCUCAAUUUAUUUGAUAUCCUGCACUUUAUUUGGUACCAAAUAUCCUCAUUGCUUAUGUUUACUGGUAAUUCUUUUCAUCCCAGAGCUGACCUCUUUAUAUUAUUUACAAUUGUUGUAAGUGUUACAAUAGUGUUUUUUACAAAAGUGUUUUUUUUUUGCUUGUUUUUACCAAAAUUUAAUUGGAAACCUGCAUUUUCUUUGGGUGUAUAUAUGUUUGUAUUUUUCUGUUAUUUAUAUUUCAGUGAUCUGACAUAUUGUUUCAAUGACAGUUACUGUAAUUUGAAAUGUGGAAUAAAAACG